rnacentral:rRNA from 1 species
UUGGAGGGCAAGUCUGGUGCCAGCAGCCGCGGUAAUUCCAGCUCCAAUAGCGUAUAUUAAUGUUGUUGCAGUUAAAAAGCUCGUAGUUGAAUUUCGGGAUCAGAUUGUCGGUCGUGCCUCGGUACGCACUGGUAUUAUUGGUUCCUACCUUCUGAAGAACCGCGAUGUCAUUAAUUUGGUGUCGUGGGGAAUCAGGACUGUUACUUUGAAAAAAUUAGAGUGUUUAAAGCAGGCUUACGCUUGAAUACAUUAGCAUGGAAUAAUGAAAUAGGACGUUUGAUUCUAUUUUGUUGGUUUCUAGGAUUGACGUAAUGAUUAAUAGGGAUAGUUGGGGGCAUUAGUAUUCAAUUGUCAGAGGUGAAAUUCUUGGAUUUAUUGAAGACUAACUACUGCGAAAGCAUUUGCCAAGGAUGUUUUCAUUAAUCAAGAACGAAAGUUAGGGGAUCGAAGACGAUCAGAUACCGUCGUAGUCUUAACCAUAAACUAUGCCGACUAGGGAUCGGAUGAUGUUAAUUUUUUAAUGACUCAUUCGGCGCCUUACGGGAAACCAAAGUGUUUGGGUUC